CCCAGGGGGCAGCCCUUAGAAAGAAUACGUCUCACGCAAUGAAUUGUGCUUAGGUCCCACAGAAUAGCAAGGGAAAAGCCAAUAAUGGAAUAAACACCCCAUUUCUUUGUCUGUUGAAGAGUUCAAAAGGGAAUAAAGAUACGUCAGUGACUCACCCCUUAACUUGUUGCAUGGAUGGAACAUUCCGUGCAUUGUUAAACCGAACAUUUAGUGUCCCACGCAAGCCAUGUGUAAGUGACAUUUUGCAUGGGGAAACGACAACUUUGGAGACAACUCAAAGAAUUCCAAUGCCGAUUCCAAGAACCAUCAAACAGGAGGGAGAUGAAGAAAAAAAUUGUCCUGACUAGCUACAAUGUGCAUUAUUUGAGAUAUUCAGUUUAACUACAAUAGCUGCUGAUGGAAUGGAUAUUGAGGAGAAGGCCGCCGUGCCAGCAGGCAGAUACUUCUCUUUCAUUGCAAUGGACAUGCUGCAGGGACCAAGGAUGCCUAGAUGCCAUUCUCAGGUUAUUGCCACUUGACAUCAUUGGCUGCUAUAUUAAAUGUUCUUCCUGUGAAAAUAAAUGUGAAGGGCAUUUGGAUCACCA